rnacentral:rRNA from 1 species
UACGUAGGGGGCAAGCGUUUGUCCGGAAUCAUUGGGCGUAAAGCGCGUGUAGGCGGUUCAGUAAGUCUGCUGUGAAAGUCCAGGGCUCAACCCUGGGAUGCCGGUGGAUACUGUAGAGCUAGAGUCCGGAAGAGGCGAGUGGAAUUCCUGGUGUAGCGGUGGAAUGCGCAGAUAUCAGGAGGAACACCUGGCGGCGAAGGCGGGUUGCUGGGCCGACACUGACGCUGGAGGCG